UGUCUUUGUUUAUUGGUUUUUACAAGCUAGAGCUGUUAGGAACCUAUGGGUUGGAGGAAUUAGUCUGUCUAUCUCAAAGCAGGAGGUAGAGGGAGAGUUUCAAAAGUUUGGAAAGGUUGAAGGUGUUGCAUUCUCCCAUGAUCAAACUUCUGCAUACAUCGACUUUGAGAAGCUGGAAGAUGCCAUUUCUGCCCAUAGAGCCUUGAAUGGGAUAGAUUAAGGGGGCAAGGAAUUGUGUGUUGAUUUCCAGAGGUCCAGAGGAAGAGCGGAACGGUCAGAAGCAGGCAACUUCAAUAGUAGAGGAUCAUUACCACCCGGUGAAAUGGGAAUUGGACAUGCAAAGGGUUCUGCUGGAGUACGAAUGAGAGAGUCAAAAAUUCCUACCAAUGUUCUCCGGGUGGGUUUACCCAAUACACAUAAAGUUAACGAGGAGGCACUAAGGCGGGCUAUGGCACCACAUGGUGUGGUUACAGACAUCAAAGUUUUUCCAGAAAGGCAGUAUGCUUUUGUGGAGUUUGCAACCAUUGAAGGAGCUUCUAAUGCUAAGAAUCUUCUAGAUGGGCGUCUUUUCAAUAAUGCAAGGAUUCAUGUUCUUUUCUCCAGCAGUGGGCUUGAUAACCUGACACCGCUUGUUGGGUUCCCUAGACCAGAGAUGUAGAAUGAGUCCACAUGCCGCAUGUGAUUAUUUUGGUGCUGGUCGCAGUAGUCAUGGUGCUCGACGUGGAAGGUCAAGAUAAUUGGACUAUGGUGCAAUGCCAAUCACUGGUGGUAUCGUUCCAGCACCUGAAGCUGGCUCAUCUUUGUUGUCUGGACAUUCUACUCAUAAUGCACUUGAUCCGAGAGAAGCCAAAAGGGUGAGGCUAGAUGCUAGCAUCGACCCUUAUACCAUGUCGGGUCGGGUAGCUUUUUUAACCUUGAUCUUUAGUGAAUCAUUUUCUACGACUUAUGGAUUGUUUUUUCCGGACAUUUAGCAAAUUGUUUUUCGGAUUGGGGAACAAGGGUCAGGUCGGGCAGCUCUUUUCCUCAGAUCUUUAGCGAAUCGUUUUCUACCACUUAUGGAUGGCAGUGGUGGGUAAUUGUUUGCAACUUCAGGGGCAAAGUCAGGACGAACAGGCAGAAGCACGAAUCCAUUUAUCAGUGUUCAAGAAUGUGUUGUGGUAGUGAAGUAUAUUGUGGUCAUUUGUGUUGUGGUAGAGACACAUUCUUUUAUUAGGGUCGGGACGGACGGGCAGAAGCACGAACCGCAGAUACAUAAACUUAUGAUUAUUUGCGUUGUGGUAGAGACACUUUCUUUUAUUAGGGUCAUUUACAUUAUUUCUAUGUUUGUAGUGAAGUAUAUUAUGCAAAUGAGAUAUUGUAUGUAUUCCUUCUUUUUGAGACGUUUUUAAGAGGGAAAGUUAUUACUAACCAACUCCUUGAAUUAAAUUAAAAGGUGUAUAUGAAGGCCAUGUUUUUGCGAUUAUUUUUCUCAAGGUGGCAUAAUCAGAAGGCCCACCCACACGGCAAGGCCAUCCCUGCCCCACUCACAACAUAUAGGGAUGCAUAUAAUAUCUAGUAACUAUGGUAUGCUCUGAUUUAAGUUUGAAUGAUGUACUAAUACAGAAUAAUCCUUGGUUAGUCAUAGUUGUUUAUUUCUUGAGUGAAAUUGCUGCAUUCAUGUGCUAAUGUUGUGUAAUGAGUUGUGCACAAGUGACAAAAUUUGCUGUUAUUCAGGCUGUGAUUGGAUAUAAAUAUGAAGUGUAUUUUAUCUUUGAUCUGUUUCACUUUAAGUUAGACCGUUCAUAGCUAUCUCAUAGUUUUUUGUUGCUAGGACUACUUGUAUGAGGAUUUUAUUCAUCUAUUUCAUUAUAGAAAUAGUAUGCCUGCAUUAGGCAUUUGUUCUUUGAUUGGGUUUUACAUGAUAGAGCUAUUAGGAAUCGAUGGGUUGGAGGAAUUAGUUCAUCUAUUUCAAAGCAGGAGGCAGACGAAGAGUUUCAAAUGAUUGGAAAGAUUGAAGGUGUUGAAUUCUCGAUUGGUCAAACUAUUGCAUACAUCGACUGUGAGUUGCUGGAAUAUGCCAUUCCUACCAAUAAAGUCGUGAAUGUGACAUAUUUU